rnacentral:rRNA from 1 species
UACAGAGGGGGCAAGCGUUGUUCGGAAUUACUGGGCGUAAAGGGCGCGUAGGCGGCCCGCUAAGUCGAACGUGAAAUCCCUAGGCUCAACCCAGGAACUGCGUCCGAUACUGGCAGGCUUGAAUCCGGGAGAGGGAUGUGGAAUUCCAGGUGUAGCGGUGAAAUGUGUAGAGAUCGGGAGGAACACCGGUGGCGAAAGCGGCUCACUGGACCGUCUCUGACGCUGAGGUGCGAAAGCCAGGGUAGCGAACGGG